CUUGCCUGCCGCUAUGCAAGGCGUGACUUUGCUCCUCCUUUGCCUUCUGACAUGAUUGUGAGGCCUCCCCAGCCAUGUGGAACUGAAGAGGAAAUUUGGAUAUGUACAGAGGGAAGAUGAUGUGAAAAGGUACAGAGAAGAUGACCUUCUACAAGCCAAGGAGAGGCAUCAGAAGGAACCAAACCUGCACACACCUUGAUUUUGGACUUCCAGGCUCCAGAAUGGAUUAAAAAAACCCACGCUGCUGAUAUCCUUGUCAGCCUUUUCCUGAAUCAUUGCUGUGCAGCUCCAGGGAGCCACGGGCCGGUGCCUUCUGACCGGCAGACUCCGUCCAUGGGCCUUCCUGUCCUUGGGGUCCUGGAGCUCUCUGUCUGAGCCUCCUUGGCCACUGAAGCAACACCCAGAGGCCUGCAUCCUCUAAGAAAUGCCAGCCAGGGUUGCAGAUGGAGCCAAGAAUUGAAAAUCUGGCCGAGUCUUUCCAUCUCACAGAUGAGCAAGCUGAACCUCAGAGGGCUUAGUGAUGUGGUUGAGGCACAGCCACCAAGGAUCAAUGACUGAGAAAAGUACUGAGUACACAGAAGUGGCGACGGGCAAAUGGAGAUCCUGGAAAAGGAGGUUUUCUACCAAAAUAUCCUUGUGAACAUGAGGACAGCUUCCAAACUGAGAAAGAGUGGGCUCGAGAAAGCUCUAAUGCUUCUUUCCCUGACACGAAGUGCUUCGUGCAGUGUUUGGCAUCAACAUGUCGGAGCCGUGGCAACGUUCUCCGUGCAUCCCCGCUUGGGCGUCAUUUUAAAGGGCCCACCUUGUGUACGAGAUGCACUUUGAUUUACUGACUUGCUUACGGAGAAAGGAGUCGUGGAAAUGUACCUGGCUGUGAGACAUAUAUUCACAGACACGUGUACAUCUUUAUGCCCACACAGAAGGGUAACAGCAGCCUUGCUUCAGAGGCCACACCUUCCAGGAAACCCUUCAGCCUGCCGUGUCUUAGCUGAUCCCUCUGCCAUCCCCUUGCAGAAGGAGCUUGGAGUCUCUCAGCUCAGCUGGACUAGAUGAAUCUUCUCAGGGUCGUCUUCUCCCACCUCUGGCUCCCAGUUCCUUCCCCCAGUCUCUCCCUCCCUGCUCUGUGUGAUCAGGGAAGCUGCAAACCCAACCCUUACAUCAAAAGGGAACUUGAAAAAUACUUGGAGCAAAAACUGCUAACUGUGCAUCCUUGCUGUAUGCUGGCGCUGAUAUUAAAUCAGGAAAUGGCACUGAACAGCCGCUCCGAACACAGAAACAGGGGUUGUCAACACAGCAACCAAAAGCAAUCUCUAACGGGCAGAGGUGAAAGGGACCUGGCACAGGGCCAGGAGGGGGGCUGCAACCCAGGAAAGAAUUCCUGAGCUGAGUGUGUCUGUGCCACCUCUCCAGUGUCCAGAAUGAAGCCUGGAUCUCAGUCCCUGGCAUGGAAUGCACCUUGUCUCUCUCCAUGAGGGAUGAAAGAUAAUUAGAUAAUUAAGCAUGUUGCUUAAAUACCUUUGAAAUUCUCCUUUUUAUUUCCAUACAUGUUUACCGAGCACCCACUAUGUGCCUGACAGUCCAAUAAAAAAGAUGCCUUCCCAUGUGGAGAUGACCUUCUAGCCCUCAGGACAGAACUCUGACCCUUUGACAUGGCAUUCAAGGUCCUUCGAGUGUUGGCUCCUGCAGAAGCUUUCAUCUCUGUUUCCAGCCUCCCUGAAAUAGCUCCCCAAGGGCACGAGGCAGUACCUUUGCUCCAUGCCUUUGCUUGGACUAGUCCUACCACCAGCAAUUCCUGCAUUUCUGUGUUUGGCAAGUUUCUGCUCAGCCUCCAAAGCCUUAACCAAGUGUCACCUUUUCUCUGCAGCAUUUUCUGCCACCCUCCCCAUUUCUUCCAAUAGAACCAGGGAUCUUUUACUUGGGAUCCAGAAGCACUGUGGACAUAUUGCCAUCACAACACCUUUCAUGUCACAAUGGCAAGGUUUGCACUGUCUUGGAGGAGAGGAAGGAAGCCAUAUUCAUCCCUGAACCCUCAUCUCCCAGCACUGGUUGUAAAACUGAAACAAAAAUGGAAAACCUUGAUGAAAUUCAUUGUUGGUGUGGCUAUGGGGAAACAGAUUUUCCAUUUCUGAUAGUAAAUGAAAUAGGCACCAUCUUGUUAGAGGCUAAUUUGACAUUAUUAACACUGAAAAUGCACACAUCUUUCAACCCAGCAAUUUUAUUUCUUGCUUUCUAGAGGAAUGUUUGCCCAUGUGCAGAAAGGCGCAUGUAAAAAGCUGAGUUGCAGCAUUGUUUGCAAUAGUAAAAGAUUUGAAAUUGCUUAAAUGUCGGUCAAUAUGGCCUGGAUAAAAAACUAUAGGGCAUCCAUUGGAUAGAAUGCUAUGCAUUAGUUAAAAAGAAGUAGAUUUCCAUGUAUUGACCAAGCAUUUGCUGAGUAAAAAUCAAAAGCAAGCUGUAGCUCUAGACAUAGAUGUUAAAAUUACAUUGCUGCAUUUUUUCACAA
rnacentral:lncRNA from 1 species